CUCAUUCUGAGAAUACCUCUCACUGUCCCCUUCCCUUCCUCAAACAGUUUAGUUUCAUAGAGCUUGGUUGAAGUCUCAGUGUCACUUAAGUGAGGAUGGAUGAGUGAGCACUGCUUUUACCUGAGCAACUCCUAGACACAGUAGCCUCUGCGGAGUAAAUCUACAUUUUUUUUUCUUUUUUUUUUUUUGCCUAGAGGGAAUUGUUUUGGUCUGUUUUUGUAGAAAAGCUGAUAUAUUUCUAAUAUGUAUUAAAGGUUGAGGAAGAGUUUGGAGCAAUGAAUGAGAUGAAAGAGAAAGCUGUGCCAGGCGAGAUGAAAGCCAACCACAGAACAGUUAAUCAUUCCAGCCCGAGAUAAACAAGAGAAAUCCAGUGUCUCCACAGAGACAAGGAGGAGCCCAGCUAUUCACUGCAGAAAUGUCUCUGACACGGAAGUUUCGGAGCUGGUUACUAAACCUGCUAUUUCUGCUCUGCCACAGUCAUCCCAUUAAAACUGAAAAUAAUCCUGCAACUGGAAAACUUAUCCUUAUAGCAGCCUUAUAGGCCAUCAAAGAAAAGAGUAGAGACUCUUCUAAAAGAUCUUUAAGAAGACAUGAGGAAUAAAAUGUAAUUAACACUCGCUGAAGGGAUCGAACUCACGACUGUGUGCUUGCCAGCUUGAAAGCGUGUGUAAAGGCCUGGAGGCAGCAAACAGCAUUGAUUUGAAGGACUUGGCUCUGCAGCAUGGCAGAAGCAGAGAAGGAAGUAGGAGAGUAGCACAAAAUGAAGCCGAGAAGUAAGCACUAAAUCAUACAGGAUUUUGUUACCCUGAUGGUGCUGUAUAAUAUGGAAACCAGCCACAGGUCCUUUGCCUGCCCAAAGCCCAAUCAUGGUGUGACUCUCUGACUUUAAUGUAUUAUAAACUCAUUUUUGAUUUUAGGUUUUGCUAACAUAGACAUUUAUACACACCCAUAGAAAUAAACACAGUUAUAUAAAUGAGCA